rnacentral:antisense_RNA from 1 species
GCAACUUGACUCUGAGAGCCUGCUGUCUCCACUGAAUUUGAUUAUGUGCUAUCAGGAGAAUCCAUCUACUGCCUGCAGCUGUCGAGCUCCUCUCCUGGACAUCCUAAACUCAAAUGGCAGGGAAAAAAAAAAACACUGCCAUCUAUUCUGACCUCUGAAGUCACCAUGCCCAUUAACUGAGGAUGAAGAAGACAGAAGGAAUACUGAAUGUCUGAAGAGAGAGAAAACGUUAUAAAAUUAUCCUUUCAAAAGACAGAAGAAUAAAUUCACUUGGCAAAUGUAAUAUGGACUUACCUGAGGUUUGAAGUCAUCUAAAAAGAAACCAAAAAUCAUGGUUUUGAGAUUUUGUCCAAAUUCCUUCAUUAUCUCAGCACUGCACUAGGAUACUAAUGAGUUUUCGGGAAUAGAAAACCCAAUGGAAUAUUAAAAUUGGAAAGAAGAGCUCGUUGAGUUAAUUUCACUGAAGUGCAUCACAACACACUGCACUGUUGUAAGAAUGAAUAUUCAAAUAGGAAUCUAGUCAUGGGAAAAUUAAUUAAGGAAAAUGUUAUUGCUAAUAUUUCUUUUUAUGAAUAUACAUAUGCAGAGACACACAACCAUCUAUUGGCUCCACACUGACAAUAAUAAAAGCUAAACAUUUAUGAGAGUCAAAUGUUCAAGAUCUCUUGCUGAGUUGGUGUUAAAAGAUUUUAAAUAAAAAAAUUAUGAUUCCAGA